CUGGGCUCGAACGGCUAGUCAACGAUCGUGGAAACACGGUUACUCCGCAAGGGGGUCUAGUCGAGGUGCUGCAUGGCUGUCGUCAGCUCGUGUCGUGAGAUGUUGGGUUAAGUCCCGCAACGAGCGCAACCCUUGUCCUGUGUUGCCAUCAUUCAGUUGGGAACUCGCAGGAGACCGCCAGCGAUAAGCUGGAGGAAGGUGGGGAUGACGUCAAGUCCUCAUGGCCUUUAUGUCCAGGGCUACACACGUGCUACAAUGGCCGGUACAAAGCGUUCCUAAGCCGCAAGGUGGAGGCAAUCGCAGAAAACCGGUCUCAGUUCGGAUUGCAGGCUGCAACUCGCCUGCAUGAAGCUGGAAUCGCUAGUAAUGCUAUAUCAGAACGAUAGCGUGAAUACGUUCCC
rnacentral:rRNA from 1 species